GCCACAGACCACCACAGUCAGAUAUGGCGGCCCCUGGGACUAGAGUCCUUGACAACUACGAGGAUGCCACAAAGAAGAGUUAUUUUUCCUUCUUUGCUUGCACAGCACCUUCAAAUACUAGGAGGACUAUGGCUCAGAAGAAAGAGGCUCGCAGAAACUAGAGAUGAUGAAAACAUGGAUGGGUUCCUGCUUCCUGAGGAACAGAGCCUUCCCUUAUGUGAUGCUGAUCAGUUGAGAUGCUGAACCUAAACCAGAGCCAACCAAUCAAGCAUGCUCAUAUACCAAAGAGCUGUCCAGCCCAAAAUGACAAGGAUGUCCCAUUAAAGACCACUCAUAAAUGUCUUUAAAAGCCUAGUAUCCAGUAAGAAGUUCCAAAGUAGUUGAAUGAUACUCAUGCUACCACCUUCAGAGCACAACAGACCAUCAGUUGAAAUCAAGGUUGUACCUCAUUCACCUUCACUUUCCUACAUCCACACCCCCAAACCUGACAUUUAACAAGCAUAGUCACUAUCUCUUAAAUAUGCAAAUAAUAAAACACAAUAAACAGAUAAA